rnacentral:rRNA from 1 species
UACGUAGGGUGCGAGCGUUGUCCGGAUUUAUUGGGCGUAAAGAGCUCGUAGGCGGUUUGUCGCGUCGGCCGUGAAAUCUCCACGCUUAACGUCGGAGCGUGCGGUCGAUACGGGCAGACUUGAGUUCGGUGAGGGGAGACUGGAAUUCCUGGUGUAGCGGUGAAAUGCGCAGAUAUCGAGGAGGAACACCGGUGGCGAAGGCGGGUCUCUGGGCCGAUACUGAC